AACAAACGCUGGCGGCGUGCCUAACACAUGCAAGUCGUACAAGAAAGGGUCCUUCGGGGCCUGAGUAAAGUGGCGCACGGGUGAGUAACGCGUGGAUAAUCUGCCCUUCAGUUGGGAAUAACUCACCGAAAGGUGGGCUAAUACCGAAUAAUGCUGUGAGACCUCGGUUGAUCAGCCAAAGAGAGCCUCUGCUUGCAAGCCCUCGCUGAAGGAUGAGUCCGCGUACCAUUAGCUAGUUGGUAGGGUAAUGGCCUAGCAAGGCGACGGUGGUUAGCUGGGCUGAGAGGAUGAUCAGCCACACUGGAACUGGAACACGGUCCAGACUCCUACGGGAGGCAGCAGUGAGGAAUCUUGCGCAAUGGGGGCAACCCUGACGCAGCAACGCCGCGUGAGUGAGGAAGGUCUUCGGAUCGUAAAGCUCUGUCGGAUGGAAAGAACCGCAUAGGGGUAAACAGCCCCUGUGUCUGACGGUACCAUCAAAGGAAGCACCGGCUAACUCCGUGCCAGCCGCCGCCGUAAUAC
rnacentral:rRNA from 1 species